GGACUACUGGGGUUUCUAAUCCUGUUUGCUCCCCACGCUCUCGCGCCUCAGUGUCAGUAUCUGUCCAGGUAGCCGCCUUCGCCACUGGUGUUCCUUCCGAUCUCUACGCAUUUCACCGCUACACCGGAAAUUCCACUACCCUCUACAGUACUCUAGUCAACCAGUUUUAGUUGCAAUUCCUAGGUUAAGCCCAGGGAUUUCACAGCUAACUUAACUAACCACCUACGCGCCCUUUACGCCCAGUAACUCCGAUUAACGCUCGCACCCUCUGUAUUACCGCGGCUGCUGGCAC
rnacentral:rRNA from 1 species